rnacentral:rRNA from 1 species
AGAGUUUGAUCAUGGCUCAGAUUGAACGCUGGCGGCAGGCCUAACACAUGCAAGUCGAGCGGUAGCACAGGGAGCUUGCUCCUGGGUGACGAGCGGCGGACGGGUGAGUAAUGUCUGGGAAACUGCCUGAUGGAGGGGGAUAACUACUGGAAACGGUAGCUAAUACCGCAUAACGUCGCAAGACCAAAGAGGGGGACCUUCGGGCCUCUUGCCAUCAGAUGUGCCCAGAUGGGAUUAGCUAGUAGGUGGGGUAAUGGCUCACCCAGGCGACGAUCCCUAGCUGGUCUGAGAGGAUGACCAGCCACACUGGAACUGAGACACGGUCCAGACUCCUACGGGAGGCAGCAGUGGGGAAUAUUGCACAAUGGGCGCAAGCCUGAUGCAGCCAUGCCGCGUGUAUGAAGAAGGCCUUCGGGUUGUAAAGUACUUUCAGCGAGGAGGAAGGCAUUAAGGUUAAUAACCUUGGUGAUUGACGUUACUCGCAGAAGAAGCACCGGCUAACUCCGUGCCAGCAGCCGCGGUAAUACGGAGGGUGCAAGCGUUAAUCGGAAUUACUGGGCGUAAAGCGCACGCAGGCGGUCUGUCAAGUCGGAUGUGAAAUCCCCGGGCUCAACCUGGGAACUGCAUCCGAAACUGGCAGGCUAGAGUCUUGUAGAGGGGGGUAGAAUUCCAGGUGUAGCGGUGAAAUGCGUAGAGAUCUGGAGGAAUACCGGUGGCGAAAGGCGGCCCCCUGGACAAAGACUGACGCUCAGUGCGAAAGCGUGGGGAGCAGACAGGAUUAGAUACCCUGGUAGUCCACGCCGUAAACGAUGUCGACUUGGAGGUUGUUCCCUUGAGAGUG